GCGCCUGUAGCUCAGUUGGAUAGAGCAUCUGCCUUCUAAGCAGGUGGUCGCAGGUUCGAAUCCUGCUAGGCGCGCCA
rnacentral:tRNA from 1 species